AUGGACCAGAUGCGCGCGGACCUGGCGGAGAUGAAGACGACCAGUGCGUUGGUCGCGGCAUCGGUCAAAUCGAUGUCGGAGACCAUCCAGGCCAUGUCGAGCUGGAUGCCGAAGGUCGAUAAAUCGAUCGGCUCGCUGCAGUCAGCCAUCACUGAGGUGGGCGCUCGGGUGGCAGUGCUGGAAGCAGAGCAACCACCAGCAAUGACCCCUAUUCCACCUCGGCCCCAUGGGCACGGCGUUGACAAUCAGCACCAGGGUACUGCGCUUGGAGCUAACAACGCUCCCGCGCCUACCCUGGGCAGGGGUAAGCGUGAUUUCGCCCCUACACCAAUUCCUUUUGACUUGGAGCACAGCGCAUAUUCAUCUGAUCACAUUCAUGGCUCUGGUUUUCGCUCGGGACAUUCAGGUGGUCGCAUGCCGAAAACUGAUUUCCCAAAAUUUGAUGAGGACAAUCCUACAUGGUGGAAAACCAUAGCUGAAAAGUAUUUUGCUAUGUAUGCUGUGCCACAUGAAACUUGGGCUAGUUUUGCAACCUUGCAUUUUUGUGGCAAUGCUGCCUUGUGGUUA
rnacentral:rRNA from 1 species